rnacentral:rRNA from 1 species
AGUGAACGCUGGCGGUAGGCCUAACACAUGCAAGUCGAACGGCAGCACAGUAAGAGCUUGCUCUUACGGGUGGCGAGUGGCGGACGGGUGAGGAAUACAUCGGAAUCUACUUUUUCGUGGGGGAUAACGUAGGGAAACUUACGCUAAUACCGCAUACGACCUACGGGUGAAAGCAGGGGAUCUUCGGACCUUGCGCGAUUGAAUGAGCCGAUGUCGGAUUAGCUAGUUGGCGGGGUAAAGGCCCACCAAGGCGACGAUCCGUAGCUGGUCCGAGAGGAUGAUCAGCCACACUGGAACUGAGACACGGUCCAGACUCCUACGGGAGGCAGCAGUGGGGAAUAUUGGACAAUGGGCCCAAGCCUGAUCCAGCCAUACCGCGUGGGUGAAGAAGGCCUUCGGGUUGUAAAGCCCUUUUGUUGGGAAAGAAAAGCAGCAGGUUAAUACCCCGCUGUUCUGACGGUACCCAAAGAAUAAGCACCGGCUAACUUCGUG